rnacentral:rRNA from 1 species
UCCACGCCGUAAACGAUGUCGACUAGCCGUUGGGAUCCUUGAGAUCUUAGUGGCGCAGCUAACGCAUUAAGUCGACCGCCUGGGGAGUACGGCCGCAAGGUUAAAACUCAAAUGAAUUGACGGGGGCCCGCACAAGCGGUGGAGCAUGUGGUUUAAUUCGAAGCAACGCGAAGAACCUUACCUGGCCUUGACAUGCUGAGAACUUUCCAGAGAUGGAUUGGUGCCUUCGGGAGCUCAGACACAGGUGCUGCAU